UGUUUUUUAAAGGUAGUCUAGUAUUCAGCA
rnacentral:piRNA from 1 species